UUCUCUUUCUUCUUCUUCUUUCUUUAUUCUUCUGUUCUCGCCUCUGGCGAUUCUGAUAGUCUUGAGAGAUGAAAUUAAAUUGUGAGAUCGUGAGGGUUGAGUAGAUAUCAAGGCGUAUCUGAUGAUGACGGUGUUGAAUCGAUUACUGCACCAGGAAUUCACAGAGAAAGAGACAGAUCAGGGUUGCGCAGUGGAAGCUCUGUGGCGUUGAGUCUUCUGCUAUGUUUAUUAUGUUGUAUAUUCUAUUUGCAAACCAAAUGACAAGUGUAUAUGUAUCAUUUGAGAGGAAUUCUUAUAUAUAUUUCUGAGCGGGGCUAGUUUUUGAGUUAAGCUUUGUAACAAAUUUCUUAAUACGAUGUUUAAGUAUAUGAUUUAGAUUUUUAGUGCC